GAUGAAGAACGUAGCGAAACGCGAUAAGUAAUGUGAAUUGCAGAAUUCAGUGAAUCAUCGAAUCUUUGAACGCACAUUGCGCCCGCCAGUAUUCUGGCGGGCAUGCCUGUUCGAGCGUCAUUUCAACCAUCAAGCCCCGGGCUUGUGUUGGGGACCUGCGGCUGCCGCAGGCCCUGAAAUGCAGUGGCGGGCUCGCUGUCACUCCGAGCGUAGUAGUUACAUCUCGCUCUGGGCGUGCUGCGGGUUCCGGCCGUUAAAAGCCUUAUUUACCCAAGGUUGACCUCGGAUCAGGUAGGAAGACCCGCUGAACUUAAGCAUAUCAAUAAGCGGAGGA
rnacentral:misc_RNA from 1 species